CCUACGGGUGGCUGCAGUGGGGAAUAUUGGACAAUGGGGGGAACCCUGAUCCAGCCAUGCCGCGUGUGUGAAGAAGGCCCUCGGGUUGUAAAGCACUUUCAGUGAGGAAGAACGCCUGGUGGUUAAUACCCAUCAGGAAAGACAUCACUCACAGAAGAAGCACCGGCUAACUCCGUGCCAGCAGCCGCGGUAAUACGGAGGGUGCGAGCGUUAAUCGGAAUUACUGGGCGUAAAGGGCGCGUAGGUGGCUUGAUAAGCCGGUUGUGAAAGCCCCGGGCUCAACCUGGGAACGGCAUCCGGAACUGUCAAGCUAGAGUGCAGGAGAGGAAGGUAGAAUUCCCGGUGUAGCGGUGAAAUGCGUAGAGAUCGGGAGGAAUACCAGUGGCGAAGGCGGCCUUCUGGACUGACACUGACACUGAGGUGCGAAAGCGUGGGUAGCAAACAGGAUUAGAUACCCUUGUAGUC
rnacentral:rRNA from 1 species